rnacentral:rRNA from 1 species
GCCAGACUCCUACGGGAGGCAGCAGUGGGGGAUAUUGCACAAUGGGGGAAACCCUGAUGCAGCGACGCCGCGUGAGUGAAGAAGUAAUUCGUUACGUAAAGCUCUAUCAGCAGGGAAGAAAAUGACGGUACCUGACUAAGAAGCCCCGGCUAACUACGUGCCAGCAGCCGCGGUAAUACGUAGGGGGCAAGCGUUAUCCGGAAUUACUGGGUGUAAAGGGAGCGCAGGCGGCACGGCAAGUCUGGUGUGAAAACCCGGGGCUCAACCCCGGGACUGCAUUGGAAACUGCCGGGCUGGAGUGUCGGAGGGGUAAGCGGAAUUCCUAGCGUAGCGGUGAAAUGCGUAGAUAUUAGGGGGAACACCAGUGGCGAAGGCGGCUUACUGGACGAUGACUGACGCUGAGGCUCGAAAGCGUGGGGAGCACACAGGAUUAGAUACCCUUGUAU